CUGUUCAUCAUAAUUUCCUGUUGCCUUGCAGAUCACAAAAUUAUAUCAACUUUGGAAAAGCCGCGAGAAUCGGCCUCGGCACCAACGCUUGAAGCGGAUUUGCCUGAAACGAGCCACCGCUCAUCAAUAUCAACCCAGUAUCGCCAGGUGAAACGAGGCUCUCUGGGUGCUCUGACCAUGAGCCAGAUAAUGAAGAGGCAGCUGGAGCAUCAAUCCAGUGCCCCGCAUAAUAUCAGCACCUGGGACACGGGUCCAACGAAAACUAGUCUCCUCUCUGCACCGAGCACCGUCAGUAUGUUCGUCCCUGCACCUGAGGAGUUCAUUGACGAGCAGCCAACCACGAUGUCUGACAGGUGCCGGGACUGUGCGGCCGUGCUGGAGG